rnacentral:rRNA from 1 species
CUAACGGGUGAGUAAUGCGUGACCAACCUGCCCCAUGCUCCAGAAUAGCUCUUGGAAACGGGUGGUAAUGCUGGAUGCUCCAACUUGACGCAUGUCUUGUUGGGAAAGUGUUUAGUGGCAUGGGAUGGGGUCGCGUCCUAUCAGCUUGUAGGCGGGGUAAUGGCCCACCUAGGCUUCGACGGGUAGCCGGCCUGAGAGGGCGGACGGCCACAUUGGGACUGAGAUACGGCCCAGACUCCUACGGGAGGCAGCAGUA